AGGAAAAGAAACCAACAGGGAUUGCCCCAGUAACGGCGAGUGAAGCGGCAACAGCUCAAAUUUGAAAUCUGGCCCCCCGGCCCGAGUUGUAAUUUGGAGAGGAUGCUUCUGGCGCGGCGCCGUCCGAGUUCCUUGGAACAGGACGCCACAGAGGGUGAGAGCCCCGUACGGACGGACGCCUAGCCUCUACGAAGCUCCUUCGACGAGUCGAGUAGUUUGGGAAUGCUGCUCAAAAUGGGAGGUAAAUUUCUUCUAAAGCUAAAUACCGGCCAGAGACCGAUAGCGCACAAGUAGAGUGAUCGAAAGAUGAAAAGCACUUUGAAAAGAGGGUUAAAAAGUACGUGAAAUUGUUGAAAGGGAAGCGCCUGUGACCAGACUUGCGCCCCGCGGACCACCCGGCGUUCUCGCCGGUGCACUCUGCGGUGCGCAGGCCAGCAUCGGUUCUCCCAGGGGGACAAAGGCCGCGGGAACGUAGCUCCUUCGGGAGUGUUAUAGCCCGCGGCGGCAUGCCCCUGGGGGGACCGAGGACCGCGCUUCGGCAAGGAUGCUGGCGUAAUGGUCACCAGCGACCCGUC
rnacentral:rRNA from 1 species